rnacentral:tRNA from 1 species
ACCUGGGUGGCUUAGUCGGUUAAGCAUCUGCCUUCAACUCAGGUUAUGAUCUCAUGAGGGAUCAAGCCCCUCAUCAGGCU